rnacentral:rRNA from 1 species
AAACCGCCUAGAGGUAAACGGGUGGAUCCGCAAAGUCGGCCCGCGGAAUUCAGCUCGGAAGGCCGCGGGUUUGCGGUGGGUCGGGGAUCUUUGUCGACCCUCCUGCCGCAAGCUCGCGUCGACCGUGUGCACUUUCCGCGGGCAGAGCGCCACGACCGGUUCUCGGGCGGUCAUAAGGCGGCGGGGAUGGUAGGCGCGCGCUUCGGCGUGCGCUGGUAUAGCCCCGCCUGUCCCGAUCCGCUCGGGGACCGAGGAGCCGCCGCCGGCGUAGGCCGCCUUGCCCUCCCGGGAGGUUCGACUGGCAGAGACUGGGNAACCGUGUCUGCCGACCGCCUUUCGGUGACGGACGGGGUGGGCCCGCCGGCACAGGGUCAGUGGCGAAUCGGUCGGCCCUCCACCCGACCCGUCUUGAA